rnacentral:rRNA from 1 species
GAUGAACGCUGGCGGCGUGCCUAAUACAUGCAAGUCGAGCGAACAGACGAGGAGCUUGCUCCUCUGACGUUAGCGGCGGACGGGUGAGUAACACGUGGAUAACCUACCUAUAAGACUGGGACAACUUCGGGAAACCGGAGCUAAUACCGGAUAAUAUAUUGAACCGCAUGGUUCAAUAGUGAAAGACGGUUUUGCUGUCACUUAUAGAUGGAUCCGCGCCGCAUUAGCUAGUUGGUAAGGUAACGGCUUACCAAGGCAACGAUGCGUAGCCGACCUGAGAGGGUGUUCGGCCACACUGGAACUGAGACACGGUCCAGACCCCUACGGGAGGCAGCAGUAGGGAAUCUUCCGCAAUGGGCGAAAGCUUGACGGAGCAACGCCGCGUGAGUGAUGAAGGUCUUCGGAUCGUAAAACUCUGUUAUUAGGGAAGAACAAAUGUGUAAGUAACUAUGCACGUCUUGACGGUACCUAAUCAGAAAGCCACGGCUAACUACGUG